UUUCCGUAGGUGAACCUGCGGAAGGAUCAUUCAUAAUAAGUGUUUUAUGGCACUUUUUUAAAUCCAUAUCCACCUUGUGUGCAAUGUCAGGGUUGAUUUUUCUCUGAGAGGAUCAGCCCCAAACAUCAACUAUAUCUCAACUCUUUGUCUGAAAAAUAUUAUGAAUAAAACAAUUCAAAAUACAACUUUCAACAACGGAUCUCUUGGCUCUC
rnacentral:misc_RNA from 1 species